GGGACACGUGGUAUCCUGUCUGAAUAUGGGGGGACCAUCCUCCAAGGCUAAAUACUCCUGACUGACCGAUAGUGAACCAGUACCGUGAGGGAAAGGCGAAAAGAACCCCGGCGAGGGGAGUGAAAAAGAACCUGAAACCGUGUACGUACAAGCAGUGGGAGCACCUUCGGGUGUGACUGCGUACCUUUUGUAUAAUGGGUCAGCGACUUAUAUUCUGUAGCAAGGUUAACCGUAUAGGGGAGCCGCAGGGAAACCGAGUCUUAACUGGGCGUUAAGUUGCAGGGUAUAGACCCGAAACCCGGUGAUCUAGCCAUGGGCAGGUUGAAGGUUGGGUAACACUAACUGGAGGACCGAACCGACUAAUGUUGAAAAAUUAGCGGAUGACUUGUGGCUGGGGGUGAAAGGCCAAUCAAACCGGGAGAUAGCUGGUUCUCCCCGAAAGCUAUUUAGGUAGCGCCUCGUGAAUUCAUCUUCGGGGGUAGAGCACUGUUUCGGCUAG
rnacentral:rRNA from 1 species